AUGUACCACGCGUACAUGCCGGUUGUGAGCGCACGUUGCAAACCCGGCUGACGAUGGCUCGCUACGUGGUGUUGCC
rnacentral:sRNA from 1 species